rnacentral:lncRNA from 1 species
AGCUUCAGGGCUUGUUUUGAAGCCUCACCAUAGACACUGAAGACCAGCUUUCUUUGGCCACUCCCCUGCUCUGCUGACUGUGUGUGAAUACACACACACUCACUCACUCCCACUUCCAGUACACAGUGUCCCCAUUUGCCUGAGGGACAUGUGUUCCAAGACCCCAGGGGACACCGGAGACCGCAGAGUCUCACUAUGUAGUCCAGGCUGGCCUCAAACUUGUGGCAAUCCUCCUGCCUCGGCCUCACAAGUGCUGGAAUUACAGAAAUGUGUCACCAUGCCCAGCAAAGUCUUUGUUUCUAGCACUACUACCAGCAACACCAUAACAAAAAGAAGAAUGAACUGAAAAUCACCUCUUCUUUGAAGAAAGAAAUCUUCAAUACUAAAUAGACUUCAAUACCAAUAGAAAUCUUCAAAACUAAAAAGGAAAGGGAAGAGAGAACCAAAAUAUGGAACAGUAUCUCCAAGAACUGUAGGACAAUUCCAAAAUGUCUAGGUAUGUGUCGUGAGAACACCAGAAGAAGAGAGAGAAAGAAACAGAAAAAAAUCCUUGACGCAUUAGUGACUGUGAAUUUCUGAGAAUUAAUACUAAACUGCAAACCACAGAUCCAGGAAGCUCAGAGAACACCAAGCAGGAUGAAUACCAAACUGAUAAGUGAGCCUUUGGAAUUGCUCAGUACAGCUGAGUUGGGGGAAGUCACCCACCAUCACAGGCUGUGUGUGUUGUCAUCAUCUGAGUGGGAGGUGGCAGAGGAGAGCAAUGAGGGUCUGGUGGACUCAAUGGGGCCAACAGGUGACCUGCCC